rnacentral:rRNA from 1 species
AGAGUUUGAUCAUGGCUCAGGAUGAACGCUGGCGGCGUGCCUAACACAUGCAAGUCGAACGAGAAGCUAACCUCUGAUUCCUUCGGGAUGAUGAGGUUAGCAGAAAGUGGCGAACGGGUGAGUAACGCGUGGGUAAUCUACCCUGUAAGUGGGGGAUAACCCUCCGAAAGGAGGGCUAAUACCGCAUAAUAUCUUCCUCCCUAAAGAGAAGAAGAUUAAAGAUGGCCUCUAUACUAUGCUAUCGCUUCAGGAUGAGCCUGCGUCCUAUUAGUUAGUUGGUGGGGUAAUGGCCUACUAAGACUACAAUGGGUAGCCGGUCUGAGAGGAUGUACGGCCACACUGGGACUGAGAUACGGACCAGACUCCUACGGGAGGCAGCAGUGGGGAAUAUUGGGCAAUGGGCGGAAGCCUGACCCAGCGACGCCGUGUGAGGGAAGAAGGCCUUCGGGUCGUAAACCUCUGUCAGUGGGGAAGAAAGGGUAUGGGUUAAUAGCCUGUACUUUUGACGGUACCCACAGAGGAAGCACCGGCCAACUCCGUGCCAGCAGCCGCGGUAAUACGGAGGGUGCGAGCGUUAUUCGGAAUCACUGGGCGUAAAGCGCGCGUAGGCGGCUGAUCGAGUCAGGUGUGAAAUCCCACGGCUCAACCGUGGAAUAGCACUUGAUACUGGUUGGCUAGAGUCUGGCAGAGGGUGGCGGAAUUCCCGGUGUAGGGGUGAAAUCCGUAGAUAUCGGGAGGAACACCAGAGGCGAAGGCGGCCACCUGGGCCAAGACUGACGCUGAGGUGCGAAAGCGUGGGGAGCGAACAGGAUUAGA